rnacentral:rRNA from 1 species
CCUACGGGUGGCAGCAGUCGAGAAUCAUUCACAAUGGGGGAAACCCUGAUGGUGCGACGCCGCGUGGGUGAAUGAAGGCCUUCGGAUUGUACACCCCUGUCAUGUGGGAGCAAAUUAAAAAGAUAGUACCACAAGAGGCAGAGACGGCUAACUCUGUGCCAGCCGCCGCGGUAAUACAGAGGGGUCAAGCGUUGUUCGGAAUCACUGGGCGUAAAGCGUGCGUAGGCUGUUUGGUAGGUCGUGUGGGAAAGGGGAGGGGUGAACCCGCGGGCGGCAUAUGAUACUGGGAGACUUGAGUGAAGGAGGGGGAAGCGGAAUUCGUGGUGUAGCAGUGAAAUGCGUAGAU